UCCGAGUUGACCCCGGCAGUCUUCGAUGAGUCCCCGGCCUGACCCGCUGGCAACAUCGAACGAGGGUUGCGCUCGUUGCGGGACUUAACCCAACAUCUCACGACACGAGCUGACGACAACCAUGCACCACCUGUACACCGCCCCGAAGGACCCCUCAUCUCUGAAGGUUUUCGGUGUAUGUCAAGCCUUGGUAAGGUUCUUCGCGUUGCAUCGAAUUAAGCCGCAUGCUCCGCCGCUUGUGCGGGCCCCCGUCAAUUCCUUUGAGUUUUAGCCUUGCGGCCGUACUCCCCAGGCGGGGCACUUAAUGCGUUAGCUACGGCGCGGAAAACGUGGAAUGUCCCCCACACCUAGUGCCCAACGUUUACGGCAUGGACUAC
rnacentral:misc_RNA from 1 species